rnacentral:lncRNA from 1 species
UUGUGCAGUUAACCAGGAAAGCCAUCUUCUCUGAUUGCUAAAUGAAUGAUACUGGAAUUUGCCCAGAAAGAAAACAACAACAACGACAUUGUUUUAGUAGACUUUGUCGUUCCCUGGGAUAUCCCUGCAUACAAGACUGCCCCCUUUUCAUACUGACAGCAUCAGAAGGAAAGGCUUAACCACAACACUGAUUCUCUCAAGGAGGAAAGAAUCAUCUAGAAGUCAUGGCAAUAUAGCGCUUUCUUUAAGAUGAAAUGCUGAUGUCCCAAAGCAGUGGAGGGAGACACCUAGAAAUGCCUCUUUUUCUACUGGCCACUGGACGUGAAUGUACAGCUAAAUGUCUCAGACCAUCUUUCUACCUUCCCAGGAUCUCCCAGGAGUGUCCUCCUGCAGAAAUUUCUUCUAGGUGUCUUCAG